rnacentral:rRNA from 1 species
AUACGAACCGGACAAACGUUAUUCGGAAUCAUUGGGCUUAAAGGGUGCGUAGGCGGCGUAGUAAGUGAGGUGUGAAAGCCCUCGGCUCAACCGAGGAAUUGCGCUUCAUGCUGCUAUGCUCGAGGGAGACAGGGGUAAGCGGAACUGAUGGUGGAGCGGUGAAAUGCGUUGAUAUCAUCAGGAACACCAGUGGCGAAAGCGGCUUACUGGGUCUCUUCUGACGCUGAGGCACGAAAGCUAGGGUAGCGAACGGGAUUAGAAACCCUAGUAGUCC